UAUUGGAGAGUUUGAUCCUGGCUCAGGACGAACGCUGGCGGCGUGCUUAACACAUGCAAGUCAAGGGGAUCCGCAAGGGUAACCGGCGAACGGGUGCGUAACACGUGAGCAAUCUGCCUAGAUGUGGGGGAUAGCCGGCCCAACGGCCGGGUAAUACCGCAUACGCUCACUACCUGGCAUCGGGUGGUGAGGAAACUUUCGAGGCAUCUAGAGGAGCUCGCGGCCUAUCAGCUAGUUGGUGGGGUAACGGCCUACCAAGGCGGUGACGGGUAGCUGGUCUGAGAGGAUGGCCAGCCACAUUGGGACUGAGAUACGGCCCAGACUCCUACGGGAGGCAGCAGUGGGGAAUAUUGCGCAAUGGCCGAAAGGCUGACGCAGCGACGCCGCGUGGGGGAUGAAGCAUUUCGGUGUGUAAACCCCUGUUGCUCGGGACGAACAAGCCUUUUCGAGGGCUCUGACGGUACCGAGUGAGGAAGCACCGGCUAACUCCGUGCCAGCAGCCGCGGUAAUACGGAGGGUGCGAGCGUUGUCCGGAAUCACUGGGCGUAAAGGGCGCGUAGGCGGUCUGCUAAGCGUGUGGUGAAAGCUCGGGGCUCAACCCCGAGUCGGCCAUGCGAACUGGUGGACUAGAGCACUGUAGAGGCAGGUGGAAUUCCGGGUGUAGCGGUGGAAUGCGUAGAGAUCCGGAAGAACACCGGUGGCGAAGGCGGCCUGCUGGGCAGUAGCUGACGCUGAGGCGCGAUAGCGUGGGGAGCAAACAGGAUUAGAUACCCUGGUAGUCCACGCCGUAAACGAUGGGUACUAGGUGCUUGGGGGAGCGACCCCCCGAGUGCCGGCGCUAACGCAUUAAGUACCCCGCCUGGGGAGUACGACCGCAAGGUUGAAACUCAAAGGAAUUGACGGGGGCCCGCACAAGCGGUGGAGCAUGUGGUUUAAUUCGACGCAACGCGAAGAACCUUACCCAGGCUUGACAUGUAUGAGAAAGCCUCUGGAAACAGGGGCCCCUCUUCGGAGCUCAUGCACAGGUGCUGCAUGGCUGUCGUCAGCUCGUGUCGUGAGAUGUUGGGUUAAGUCCCGCAACGAGCGCAACCCUUGUCUCUAGUUACCAGCGCGUCAUGGCGGGGACUCUAGAGAGACUGCCGGUGCCAAACCGGAGGAAGGUGGGGACGACGUCAAGUCAUCAUGGUCCUUACGUCUGGGGCUACACACGUGCUACAAUGGCAGGUACAGAGGGCUGCGAAGCGGCAACGCGGAGCCAAUCCCCAAAGCCUGCCUCAGUUCGGAUUGUCGUCUGCAACUCGACGGCAUGAAGCUGGAAUCGCUAGUAAUCGUGGAUCAGCGACGCCACGGUGAAUACGUUCCCGGGCCUUGUACACACCGCCCGUCACGCCAUGGAAGCUGUGAGCGCCCGAAGUCGGUGCCGGAACCCGCAAGGGGCCAAGCCGCCUAAGGCGAGCGCAGUGACUGGGGCGAAGUCGUAACAAGGUAGCCGUAGGGGAACCUGCGGCUGGAUCACCUCCUUUCUGGA
rnacentral:rRNA from 1 species